UACGUAGGUGGCGAGCGUUAUCCGGAAUUAUUGGGCGUAAAGCGCGCGCAGGCGGUUCCUUAAGCCUGAUGUGAAAGCCCACGGCUCAACCGUGGAGGGUCAUUGGAAACUGGGGAACUUGAGUGCAGAAGAGAAGAGCGGAAUUCCACGUGUAGCGGUGAAAUGCGUAGAGAUGUGGAGGAACACCAGUGGCGAAGGCGGCUCUUUGGUCUGUAACUGACGCUGAGGCGCGAAAGCGUGGGGAGCAAACAGG
rnacentral:rRNA from 1 species